rnacentral:rRNA from 1 species
CUGCCCCGCUUUGCCCGUGUGAUUGGCGGAGGUUUCGGGGUGCUCUUCGUUGAGUGACUCGGAGCGCCGUCAGGUUUACUUUGAAAAAAUUAGAGUGCUCAAAGCAGGCUUUUCACGCUUGAAUAUUCGUGCAUGGAAUAAUGGAAUAGGAACUCGUUUCUAUUUUGUUGGUUUUCGGAAAUCGAGUUAAUGAUUAACAGGGACAAUUGGGGGCAUUAGUAUUCAGACGACAGAGGUGAAAUUCUUGGACCGUCUGAAGACUGACUACUGCGAAAGCAUUUGCCAAGAGUGUUUUCAUUAAUCAAGAACGAAAGUUAGAGGUUCGAAGGCGAUCAGAUACCGCCCUAGUUCUAACCAUAAACGAUGCCAGCUAGCGAUCUGCCGAGUUUUUUUUGUAGGCUCCGCAGGAAGCUUUCGGGAAACCAAAGCUUUUGGGUUCCGGGGGAAGUAUGGUUGCAAAGCUGAAACUUAAAGGAAUUGACGGAAGGGCACCACCAGGAGUGGAGCCUGCGGCUUAAUUUGACUCAACACGGGAAAUCUCACCAGGCCCGGACACUGGAAGGAUUGACAGAUUGAGAGCUCUUUCUCGAUCCGG